UACGAAGGGGGCUAGCGUUGUUCGGAUUUACUGGGCGUAAAGCGCACGUAGGCGGAUCUUUAAGUCAGAGGUGAAAUCCCAAGGCUCAACCUUGGAACUGCCUUUGAUACUGGGGAUCUUGAGUCCGGGAGAGGUGAGUGGAACUGCGAGUGUAGAGGUGAAAUUCGUAGAUAUUCGCAAGAACACCAGUGGCGAAGGCGGCUCACUGGCCCAUUACUGACGCUGAGGCACGAAAGCGUGGGGAGCAAACAGG
rnacentral:rRNA from 1 species